AGCCGAUAGAAAAAUGUAGUUAUCAAGAGAUUUUUAAAACUUCAACCCUUUUUCUCUUAUAGUUAGUGAAGAGAGUAGAAUAUCUCCAGUUUUGGCUGACAUCUCUACAACCUGAACAAUUGGCUUAAACUUCACUUGGGAUUCCCGGUUGCUUGUUUUAGCAUGGCGAAAUUUGGCGUUCACAGAAUCCUUCUUCUGGCUAUUUCUCUGACAAAGUGUCUGGAGAGUACAAAACUGCUGGCAGACCUUAAAAAAUGUGGUGACUUGGAAUGUGAAAAAAGGAAAGGAGUUUGGAUAUUUUCCCAGAGAUGCAGUCCAGAUUGAAGAGGUGUUCAUAUCUGAGGAAAUUCAGAU
rnacentral:lncRNA from 1 species